rnacentral:misc_RNA from 1 species
CUAAUAUUUAUCAGUUUGAUUCGAUUUAGUUGUCUCUUAGUGAUCAGUUUAGUUCGGUUUCAAAAUUCUUAAUUUUCAAUUUUUGAUUUCAUCGGUUCGAUUUGAAACUAAACUGACCGUUUGCACACUCCUAACGAAAAGCAUGCCUACUUAAUAGUAACGCUUUUCUUUGUGUGGAUAAGGUCUUUUCCGAUACUCCUUCGCUUGUUAAAUAUCAAAAAGAGUAUUGAUAUAGACCAACUUUAUUAUAGUGUGAAGAGAGCUUUGCUGUGUUCACUUUAUAAUUUUCUUCAAUUUUCAUUUCUUCUAUUUGUUUUCUUAUCAAUAUCAAUAGACAAUAGGAGCACAAUUACAAUAGAAUCUCAAAGCAGUUAGAAUUUAUCUAAUAGAUAGAAAUCUCUUCAAAUAAUUAUUUGGACUAACUAUAGUGAAAUCUAGAAGAAAAGUGUUUUCUUUUAUUUAUUAAAAAGUAGUGCUCCAACUUGAGGAUGUUUAAUCUAGAAGCUUUUAGGAUCAUGUGCCACCACUUCUAUUAAAAACAAUUUUUGAUAGUAGAAAUGCAAUUUAUUUCAUUUGAGGCAUUGCAGAGUUUCAAACCUUACAUGCUAUGAAUGGGUAUAAGGACUUUGCAAUUUGACACAUCUUUUAGAACCAUGCAUAAUCUCCAAUUUGAGGCUGAUAGCAAUUGACAACUUCUUGGCAAGUCACCCUACUCAGGCUGCGAAUUUGAGUAUGUUUACUCUGGACAUCUUAGGAUAAGGUGCCACCAUUUCUACUAAAGGCAAGGCACACCCUAUUUCCUUUAAGAUAUUGCAGAGCCUCGCAUCUUAGGUGCUAAAAGCAAGCAUAAGGGCUUUGCAAUGCUCUUUUUUGACACAUCGUUUUAGUGGGGAGGUUUGUCCUUAGAAUACCAAGUCCAUACAUGGUAUUGGAGUUAAAGUUGAUUAUUGGCCCCUUAUUUGACCAAUA